rnacentral:rRNA from 1 species
UAGGGAAUCUUCGGCAAUGGGGGGAACCCUGACCGAGCAACGCCGCGUGAGUGAAGAAGGUUUUCGGAUCGUAAAGCUCUGUUGUUAAGGAAGAACGAGUGUGAGAAUGGAAAGUUCAUGCUGUGACGGUACUUAACCAGAAAGCCACGGCUAACUACGUGCCAGCAGCCGCGGUAAUACGUAGGUGGCAAGCGUUGUCCGGAAUUAUUGGGCGUAAAGCGCGCGCAGGUGGUUUAGAAAGUCUGAUGUGAAAGCCCACGGCUCAACCGUGGAGGGUCAUUGGAAACUAAUAAACUUGAGUGCAGGAGAGAAAAGUGGAAUUCCUAGUGUAGCGGUGAAAUGCGUAGAGAUUAGGGGGAACACCGGUGGCGAAAGCGGCUUUUUGGCCUGCAACUGACACUGAGGCGCGAAAGCGUGGGGAGCAAACAGG